rnacentral:rRNA from 1 species
GUAGGUGGCAAGCGUUGUCCGGAAUUAUUGGGCGUAAAGCGCGCGCAGGUGGUUCUUUAAGUCUGAUGUGGAAGCCCCCGGCUCAACCGGGGAGGGUCAUUGGAAACUGGGGAACUUGAGUGCAGGAGAGGAAAGUGGAAUUCCACGUGUAGCGGUGAAAUGCGUAGAUAUGUGGAGGAACACCAGUGGCGAAGGCGACUUUCUGGCCUGUAACUGACACUGAGGCGCGAAAGCGUGGGGAGCAAACAGGGAUUAGAUACCCUGGUAGUCCACGCCGUAAACGAUGAGUGCUAAGUGUUGGGGGGGUUUCCCGCCCCUCAGUGCUGCAGCUAACGCAUUAAGCACUCCGCCUGGGGAGUACGGUCGCAAGACUG